rnacentral:rRNA from 1 species
AGUGAACGCUGGCGGUAGGCCUAACACAUGCAAGUCGAACGGCAGCACAGUAAGAGCUUGCUCUUACGGGUGGCGAGUGGCGGACGGGUGAGGAAUACAUCGGAAUCUACUUUUUCGUGGGGGAUAACGUAGGGAAACUUACGCUAAUACCGCAUACGACCUACGGGUGAAAGCAGGGGAUCUUCGGACCUUGCGCGAUUGAACGAGCCGAUGUCGGAUUAGCUAGUUGGCGGGGUAAAGGCCCACCAAGGCGACGAUCCGUAGCUGGUCUGAGAGGAUGAUCAGCCACACUGGAACUGAGACACGGUCCAGACUCCUACGGGAGGCCGCAGUGGGGAAUAUUGGACAAUGGGCGCAAGCCUGAUCCAGCCAUACCGCGUGGGUGAAGAAGGCCUUCGGGUUGUAAAGCCCUUUUGUUGGGAAAGAAAAGCAGCAGGUUAAUACCCCGCUGUUCUGACGGUACCCAAAGAAUAAGCACCGGCUAACUUCGUG